rnacentral:rRNA from 1 species
AGAGUUUGGUCUGGCUCAGAUUGAACGCUGGCGGCAGGCCUAACACAUGCAAGUCGAGCGGAAACGACACUAACAAUCCUUCGGGUGCGUUAAUGGGCGUCGAGCGGCGGACGGGUGAGUAAUGCCUAGGAAAUUGCCUUGAUGUGGGGGAUAACCAUUGGAAACGAUGGCUAAUACCGCAUAAUGCCUACGGGCCAAAGAGGGGGACCUUCGGGCCUCUCGCGUCAAGAUAUGCCUAGGUGGGAUUAGCUAGUUGGUGAGGUAAUGGCUCACCAAGGCGACGAUCCCUAGCUGGUCUGAGAGGAUGAUCAGCCACACUGGAACUGAGACACGGUCCAGACUCCUACGGGAGGCAGCAGUGGGGAAUAUUGCACAAUGGGCGAAAGCCUGAUGCAGCCAUGCCGCGUGUAUGAAGAAGGCCUUCGGGUUGUAAAGUACUUUCAGUUGUGAGGAAGGGUGUGUAGUUAAUAGCUGCACAUCUUGACGUUAGCAACAGAAGAAGCACCGGCUAACUCCGUGCCAGC